rnacentral:rRNA from 1 species
CUACGGGAGGCAGCAGUGGGGAAUCUUGGACAAUGGGGGCAACCCUGAUCCAGCGACGCCGCGUGGGUGACGAAGGCCUUCGGGUUGUAAAGCCCUUUUGUCGGGGACGAUGAUGACGGUACCCGGCGAACAAGCACCGGCUAACUCCGUGCCGGCAGCCGCGGUAAGACGGAGGGUGCUAGCGUUGUUCGGAAUUACUGGGCGUAAAGGGCGCGUAGGCGGCCAGAUCAGUCGGGUGUGAAAGCCCGGGGCUCAACCCCGGAACGGCACCCGAGACGGUUUGGCUGGAGACCGGGAGAGGAGGGUGGAAUAGCCAGUGUAGAGGUGAAAUUCGUAGAUAUUGGCUGGAACACCGGUGGCGAAAGCGGCUCUCUGGGCUGACCUUGACGCUGAGGCGCGAAGGCGUGGGAAGCGAACGGGAUUAGAUACCCCGGUAGUCC